GCGGCUAUGGCGAAAUUGGUAGACGCACCAGAUUUAGGUUCUGGCGGGAGACCGUGGGGGUUCGAGUCCCUCUAGCCGCACCA
rnacentral:tRNA from 2 species